GAGUGAAUUGAUUGUAUGUUAGAAGUGAAAACAAGUACAUGCAUGAGAUUAUAUGGCUUAGAUUUUGUUUUGAAAAGUCUUUCUACACACAAUUUUAAAGAAAAAGAUAAAAUAAGUUUUUCAUUUUUAAACUGAAAUAAAUUUUCAUAACUCUAUUUAUACAGAUAACAUGAAGGAGGUGAAGCACUUGCUGGAAAUACCAGGUGCAAAGAGCAAGCUGUCACUGUGGAAGGCUAACCUUGCAGAAGAGGGAAGCUUUGAUGAAGCCAUUAAAGGCUGCAUUGGAGUUUUCCACUUGGCCACACCCAUUGACUUUGAGUCCAAAGAUCCUGAGGUUCACUCAUCCAUUCUAUAAACUUAUUCUCUAAUGAGUUUUUUUUGUUGGAUUUAGCUCAGCUUUUAAAAUAUACUGAUAUAUUUUGACAGAUGUAACUUUACACUUCAUUUGUAUAUCAUUAAUGAUAAAUUUAGAAUAACUUGUUAUGAUCUAAAAUGAAUUUAUAGACGAAGAGUGAAUGAUAAUUAUGAUGUGGUUUUGGAAAUGCAGAAUGAAGUGAUAAAGCCUGCAAUAAGGGGAGUGAUAGAUAUCAUGAAAGCAUGCUUGAAAGCAAAAACUGUGAGAAGGCUAGUAUUCACAUCCUCAGCCAUAACCACACACAUUACUCUUCACCAAAAGCCUUUGUAUGAUGAGACUUGUUGGAGUGAUGUUGAGUUAUGCAGAAGAGUAAAGAUGACUGGCUGGGUUAGUACUUUUUCUCUUUCAUUAUCCACUUUUCAUAUGCAUAAAAUAUAAUUAAACCAUUAAUCUCUUCAAUACAAUUAGCAAUGAUUUUUUUUUUUUUUUUUAUGUGGUAGUUUUUUUUUUUUUUUUUUAUGUGGUAUAAAAAAAUAAUGUUUUGUUUAACUUGGUUUGAAUGUAGAUGUAUUUCGUUUCUAAAACUCUGGCAGAGCAAGAAGCAUGGAAAUUUGCGAAAGAGAANGGAAUGGACUUCAUCACUAUUCUUCCAACUCUUGUUGUUGGUCCCUUUCUGCUCCCAUCGAUGCCAUCUAGCAUAGUCACAGCACUUUCUCCUAUCCUAAGUAAAUUUACUCAAAUUUAUUCAAGAAUUAAUUAUAUAUUUUAUUUUUUUAUCAGUUUUUUUCUUACUUAUAAUAUAUAUAUAUAUAUAUAUAUAUAUAUAUAUAUAUAUAUAUAUAUAUAUAUAUAUAAUAUAAAUCUAAGAUUAUCUUGAUGGUAUUAUCUAUAUUGUUGUGAGAAUAAUUGAAUAAUUUAUCAUUUGCAGGAAAAGAGGAGCAUUAUUCGAUCAUAAGACAAGCUCAAUUCGUGCACGUAGAAGAUAUUUGUCUUGCUCACAUAUUUCUAUUUGAAGAGCCAAAAGCANAAGGAAGAUACAUAUGCAAUGCAUGUGACGUUACUAUUCAUGACAUUGCUAAAUUAAUUAACAAAAAAUACCCAGAGUACAAGGUUCCCACCAAGUGAGUCUCUCACCAAAUUUACAUAUCAUAUUCUCUCCUAAUAUCUCAAGAUAUUUAUACGUGUGAAAGUGUUAUUUUUUUAAAAGAUACUGACAAAAUUUCAAAACAGACAAUGUUAUAAUGAUUAGGAAAAAGUCUUUUUAACAACUCUUCUUUGAUAAUUUUUUGACAAUGCAUGACAAUCUAUGAUUGGUCUAUUUUAAAUAUUUUCUUAAACAUAAAUUCAAACAGACCAAUAAAAUGAUGACACGUAUCUUGUUGUCAAAAAGUUGUUAAAAAAGAGUUGUUAAAAUAUCAUCUUCCUAAUGAUUAACAUCAACAAUGUUAUUCCAUGGACAUGAGAUUGAAAUACCAAUAUUUACAUGUAAAUGAUAUGUUUAAUUUAUUUCUAUGUUAAAAAUAUGGAGUGGCUAAUUGCAUACAUGGAUUUUUUAGGUUUGAGAAUAUUCCAGAUGAAUUGGAGCCGGUGAGAUUAUCUUCUAAGAAAAUCAGAGACUUGGGAUUCGAAUUCAAAUACAGCUUAGAGGAUAUGUAUACUGAAGCAAUUGAUGCAUGUAAAGAAGAAGGGCUUCUUCCUAAAACUGCUGAAACACCAGUGAAUGGCAUGGUGCAUAAGAAACAAAUAAAUAAAUAGGUUUUCAUAUUUUUCGGAUUCUUCUGUUGUGAAUUGGUAGUCAGUUCAGAUAAGUUAUGAGUAAUCUUCUCAUAUCUUGGUAAUUCCUCACGUAAGAAUUUUUUUUUUCUUACCUUUAUGUAAUUAUAAGGCUAUUAUUGAAUGUCAUUAUAUAACGUAAAAAAUUUAUAAAAUAACUGUUCACAAUAUAUCUACAUCCACAAAACGACUAGUCUAUAACUAGUAUAGUAUCUUGUUGUUUCUACCUAAAAAGACAUUAAAUAUUUGUAACACACUAUUUUCAAGUUUUAAACCAUUUAUUUUAUUAAAGGAAAGUAAUUUAGAAUGAUUUUCCUGGCUAUAUUUUAUAUUAAGAAAAGGUUUAACCUAGAUUGUAUCUAGUAUUUUCGGGUUGAUGGUAAAAAAUAAUAAGAAUUGAGUUUCUAAAUUUUGUAACAGGUGUUUCUAAAUUAAGAAUAAAGGAAUGAGUUUUAGAAUAAUAAUGAAUUGAGUGAGAUGAGAGUUUGAGUAUUGCUCUGGGGAAUCUUUUAAGAAUUUCAGAGCUGUAGAUGGAUAUCUCAUUGUAACAGAAUUCUUUUGGAAACUGAGAACCAUUUGAGAUGAAUUAGAUAAUUUCAGAGUUGAAAAAUUGGUAUCCCCUCAAUUUUGACAAGAAGAAUUUAAGGAAUUUUAAUACUAGGAAAGUUUGCAUACUACGGUAGAAAUCAUCAUACUGCUGACGUUUGUUAUAAAAGCAUGGUUACCUAUCCGGACACAGGUUUUUCGAUAAAAAUAACUCUGUCAAUAGGUUGUCUGUUACGAAUCAAGCAUCCAUUAUAAAUGUUUUUAAUAGUUGUAUUGUAGUGUUUGCCAUCUGGCUAAGCAAAAGAGAUUUCCAUUUUCUAAUAGUUCUUCUCAUGUUGAUCAAUCUUUUUGAUUUAAUUCAUAUUUAUUUUUGGGCCAUUGUUCUUAUUCUUCAGAGGAGAUAGAUAUAUUUGGAUUUAUCUAGUGAAAAAUGAAGCUGAAACUUGUGUUCACUUAAUCAAUUUUAUUGCCACAAUUUUGCAAAGGUUUGGCAUUGAGUCUAGAAAAAAGAAGAGAUUUAUCCACGGUCAAUAUUUUUCGGUAAUGACAAACGGUCAUCGGUAAAGUGUACUUAUCGACAGUCGACAUGUCGAAAAUAUUAUCGACAACUUUUUGGCCUUCGAUAUUAUCGAUGACCAAAAGCCCUCAGUAAUACCGAAGGUCAGAAGUUCUCGGUAUUACCAAGAGACAAAAAAGAAGGGAUUUGAGUGCCAAUUUGUAUGUUUAUUUUUUUUUCUUAUUGUUGACUAUUUUGUAAUGAUAUAUAUAUAUAUAUAUAUAUAUAUAUAUAUAUAUAUAUAUAUAUAUAUAAAUAAUUUUUUAUUAUGCUUGUGAGUAUAAUAAUUGUAUGUGUAGAAAUGAUGAUUUUUUUUUAUGAAUAUGAGGUAUGAUUGUUGAAAGAAUUUCAAGGAAAAAUCAUGUGUAGUGGUGAUGUUUAGUGUAUGCUUUGGUAUAUGGGAGUUCAGAAAAUAGGUACCCUAAUAUAUUACCAAUCAUUCAUUUCAUAUAGAGAGGAAUGAGGUGGGGGAGAGAAUGGUAGAAGGUCUUAAGUGUUGAGACAAGAUAAUCUAGAGAAGAAACUUUAAGAUUGUUGAGACAAGAUCGUCUAAUAAAAACUAAUCUUUGAGAUUGUUGAGACAAGAUCGUCUAAAGAAGAGACUGGAUCGUCUAAAACAUCUCUGGUUUUGAAGCUUAACAAACAACAUUAAACAAAAUAGUCAUAGGUAAUAAGAUGACUAACCAUGAUGAAAAAAAUGAGUCUCUUAUCAUUUUGGAAUCACAGCACCAAAUGGAUAUUCAUUUCUCAGUCAAACCCUUAACUGGAUAUUCAUUUCUACAAUUCUCCUUUGGUUGUCUUUUACUUUCUUCAUCAACAAUUCUUCCUAACUCAACCCAACCUCAUCUGUACCUUCUUGCGACAUUGUCUCUUCAUCCAAAUGAAGGAUAGGUUCCCACAAUCCUCCAAGAGAAGGAACCACUCCCAACAUAUAUAUUAACAUUAAAAACAUUUAGUUCUUUCAAUAACCACAUGAUCUAAAACAUAUCAAGUUAAUGCAUCCAAAGAUAUCAAGUAACUUGCAUAAUUUUUCUUGAACAACAACUUUAUUUUCUUUGACUUCAACUUCACUGAAGGCCAACUUAGGAUUCUAGGGAACACAACAUCAUGAUAGGGAAUCAUUAAACACAAACGUGCAACAACCCAAAGCUACAAAAACAAUAUAAACCAACAUCAAAAACAACUAUUUUACAAUUAAUAUUCUUACCUACAACACUACAACAUUGUCAUUAAUGCCAAAGGAGUCCAAAAUUUGACGUUCCGUAUGAUUAGAUCCCUUAUUUAAACUCUUUACCAAAAAAAGUAUGGACAACACUUGCUCAAUCAUAAUCACACAACCAUCUAUAUCUUCUAAUAUUGUACAUGACAUGUUACUAACUACCUUAUAUUUUCUGGAAAAAUAAAAUACAAUAAAACAAACAAAAAUAUACAAACAACAUACACAAUCUACAUAAUUCUCAUUAUUUCCUAUUAUUAAUUUUAUCCUAUUUACAAUGUCUCUUAGUGUUAUUAAGUGUGAAUUAAAUUGUUCACCAGCAAGAUCACAAACAUUCUUAUCAAAUUUUACCUUCAAACCACCCACAUCCAAUCCUAAACACAUUUAAACAUCAAGUUGAUAAGGAAUGAUUCAUUAUGCUCAACCCACUAGGUGAUUGUUGGAGUGUAAACAAAGUCCCACAUUGAGUAAAAGAAGGGUUGGUCAAGGGUUUAUAUACACAUAGAUACCUCAAUUGGUAAGAGGCCUUUUGGAGUGGUACCAAAAGCAAACCUGUAAGGGCUUGGCCCAAAGCGGACAAUAUCUUACCAUGUGUGGAGAUCUAUGUGUGGCAAACCUCCCCCCAACAGUGGUAUCAAAGCCCAUGGUUCGGGUCUGGUGACCGGGCUCAGACGAGUAUGCCCUCCCAUGAUCAAGUGAGCCAGGCAGGAGGCCAGUGGCGGACAGAUGAAUCAUGAGAGGUGAAGCGAGGGAGGAAUGAGACCAUAGUCCUUUGUUUGAGGGAGGAUGUUGGAGUGCAAACAAAGUCCCACAUUGAGUAAGAGAAGGGUUGGUCAAGGGUUUAUAUACACAUAGAUACCUCCAUUGGUAAGAGGCCUUUUGGAGUGGUACCAAAAACAAACCCCUGAGCACUUGGCCCAAAGCAGACAAUAUCUUACCAUGUGUGGAGAUGUAUGUGUGUGGCAUCCCCCAACAGUGACCAUUUAAACAUCAAGUUGAUAAGGAAUGAUUCAUUAUGCUCAACCCACUAGGUGACCAUUUAACUUCAUUGUAACUUUCAUGUCACACCAUGGUAGUAAACAAAACUAUCAAAAUUUAUAAAAAAUCAACAAUUAAUAAAUAUUAUUUAAAGAAAAUAAUGAAUUUUCAGUAUUACACGUUUACUUACCUUGAUUUCACCUUAUUGUAAAAUGGAUUCCAUUGUUGUAAAAAUAAACAAAGUAAAAAAAAAAAAACUAGAUAAAAAAGAACUAAACUUGGCACCCAACAACCACUAGUGCAAAAACGCUAAUUAACGUCGGUUUUUUUGGGCUUUUAACGUCUACAAUUGAACCGACGUCAUUACCGGUGACGUCCAUGCGACGUCGAAAAAAUAGUAUAACCGACGUCUAUCUCGACGCCAGUCACUGACAGGUCCAAUGUCACUAAACGUCGGUGAAGGGGGAAAAUGGACGUCUAAAGACAUCAUAUAGACGUCGGUCUUAGCAAUAACCGACGUCUAAGAGGUAUUAUAGACGUCGAAAAUGACACUGACUGAUGUCUAAGAGGUACUAUAGACGUAGGUGUGUACAUUAACCGACGUCUAAUAUAGUGGUUGUGUUUUAGUGCAGUUUUGUUCCCGUCUUUGGAUAGCUUAGUAGCACAAUCUCCUUUUGCUAGUUUCUCCCCAAAAAAAAAGCUUGCAUCUCUUGAAUUUCUUAUGGAUCUUUUCAACCCAAAACCGAACCUGGGUUCUUCCUUAGUUCCAUUUUCAUCCGCAAGAACGAAAAAUCACGGUGAAACGAUAACUAGGCAACGACCCAUGAUUGUUUUUGGGUUGAAAUGAUCAAAAGAAAUUCAAUAGAUGCCGUUUUUUUCUGGGAGGCAAUUAGCAGAGGGAGAAUGUAUUACUACGUUACCCCAAGAAAGGAACAAAAUUGCACUAAAACACAACACAAAGAAAACAAAUUUUAAUCAGUUGAACUAAAAGAUAAUCGAUGAAAGACUAAACAAAGUUUAAAUGGUAAGCAUAAAAAAAAACCACGCACCUGGGAUGCCGCAAGAGAGAAAAAUAAGAAGAGGCAGAGAGAAAAAGAAGAGGUGUCGCAUGCGAGAAAAGGAAGAGGCCACAAGAGAAAAUGGAGAAGAGGAAAACGAUAUUAGAAACUGAAUGCCGUGAAGAGUUUGCGAUUGUAUUUAAAAUGAACUUGGGCGUCGGUUGCUCCAGACACCGACGUCUAUGUCGACAUAGACGUCGGUUAUCUCACUAAUAUGACGUCCAAGUUAACGUUUCAUCUGACCUUUUGAAUACCAUUAGACGUCGGUGUCUAGGGGAGCCGACUUCUAGAAAAGCUGAAACGAUUGACGUUUGAUUUCCUGUCACGGAUGUUUGACGACUAUUGUCAUAGGGCGCCAGACAUAAUGAUGAACAUAAUUACUUGCAGGCACAUAGAUGUCGGUGCCCCUUCUACCCGACGUCUAUGUCCCUCGAGUUUGGUGAACCUAAUUAAUUACAGGCACAUAGACGUCGCUUCCACUGAACGCCAACGUUUAAAUUGAAGAUUUUUUUUCUUCCCGCCUUCCAUUCAGGCCGUAGUCGUUGCCUUUUGACCACACGACGUCGAAACGUCUGGGAAUUAGGUAAAGAGCAUUAAUUGCAGCCCCAUAGACGUCGGCUCCCCGUGAACACCGACGUCAACAGACUGUCUUCUCACCUACCCCUGAUCAUUAGAUGCCGGUUUGCGCCAAUAUGGACUUCUAUAGCGUAAAAGACGUCACCUUCACAUAAUACCAACGUCUAGUUUACCAAGCUAUUUACGAUAAUGCUACCGUCCACUCAUAGACGUCGGGUUACCAACAAACCGAAGUCUAUUGAGUGACGUUAAACAACAUUUUUACACUAGUGAACAAAUCCUAAAAUACAAAAUCACGAUAGAAUAAAAUUAUCCCGAACAACAAUACAGAAUGAAAGAACAAAUAACAAAACCAUAUACGGAAAGAAGAUGUCAAUAUCGUCAUCCUUUCCGAAAACCCAAAAUACUGCCGUGAAGUCAUUGUCGUGAUACUGCCCACUGAUAAAGUUGUGAGCAGUUUAAGAGCCACCACACAAAUAGGAAAAAAAUUCAUUCUUUUAUAUCUAUUUUAUUUUUCUAUCAUUCUUUUAUAUCUACUUCCAUUAUGUUUUUGAGAUAACCUUACUUCCAACAACUCCAUCAAAUAAUACUUCCAACCCCGUGUUUUUGAAAUUUUAUCAGCCAACGACCCUUUUGACCUUUCAUUAUAAUAUUUUAUUCAUAAUUAGGUGAAAGCCUAGUUAGGUGAAAAUGUUUGUGAAAGACACAACUUCUAUAAAACGUUCGUACUCCCCAACAUGUUCCAAUUCAUUACCAACACAGAGGGAAGGUUUCAUUCUAUAGUUUUUGAGAAGCCGGAACAAUGGAUUCAGAAUCCUUAACCGUUUGCGUCACGGGGGCCUCUGGUUUCAUCGGAUCAUGGCUUGUCAUGAGACUCAUCCAGCGUGGCUAUACGGUUCGAGCCACCGUUGUUGACCCAGGUUCCUUUUCAUCCAUCACUCUCUAAAUUCAUCUUUUUCAUCUUCCAAUAUCAAUAUCACAGCCUAAAAUACCUCUUUUUCUUUACCCUUUUGAAUUUCUGAUUUCAUUCUAGUCUCAAGUUUCUAAAGUUUUAUCUGGGUAUCCAAAAGUUAGUGAGUGAUGUUUGACACCUCUAACUCUAUUAUUAUGCAUGUGCACCGUGAAGAUAACAUGAAGAAGGUGAAGCCCUUGCUGGAAAUACCAGGUGCAGAGAGCAAGCUGUCACUGUGGAAGGCUAACCUUGCAGAAGAGGGAAGCUUUGAUGAAGCCAUUAAAGGCUGCAUUGGAGUUUUCCAUGUGGCCACACCCAUUGACUUUGAGUCCAAAGAUCCUGAGGUCC
rnacentral:lncRNA from 1 species